AGCUCCAGUAGCGUAUAUUAAAGUUGCUGCAGUUAAAAAGCUCGUAGUUGGAUUUCUGGCAAGACAAAGCUGGCCUGGCUCUUCGUGAGUCGUGUGCUGGUCUUUAUCUGCCAUCCUUCCAGAGAACGAUAAUACCAUUUACUUGGCCGUUGUCGCAAUCUGGGACUUUUACUUUGAAAAAAUUAGAGUGUUCAAAGCAGGCAAUAUCGCUGUGAAUACAUUAGCAUGGAAUAAUAAUUUAGGACUUUGGUUCUAUUUUGUUGGUUCUAGGACCGAAGUAAUGAUUGAUAGGGAUAGUUGGGGGUGCUAGUAUUCAGCGGCCAGAGGUGAAAUUCUUGGAUUCGCUGAAGACUAACUUAUGCGAAAGCAUUCACCAAGGAUGUCUUCUUUA
rnacentral:rRNA from 1 species